rnacentral:lncRNA from 1 species
CACACACAAAUACAAAUACACAUACAUAUACAUAGCGUACACGCGUCUAUAUCCAGCUACAUGGAGCCAUGGAGAGAGAGAUUUACACACACCCCGAUAAGUGUGUAAGACAAGGUAGGGGAGCACCACACCGAAGGAUCCAGUGUAGACUACAACAAGCCAUUACAAUGUUACCAUACCUUCAUAAUCGCUACUAGCAGAAUGAAAUAAGCGGUAUCCUUCCAGCAAACCGCUGCAUUUGCCUCUGUUCUUCUCCCGAUCGCUGUGGGGAGCGGGGCGAGAGAACUCGGAGCCAGUGGCUGCGAAGCCCCUUGCACCAGUCCUGGGAGUGGAGCAGCUUCUAUCUCCGCGAGGGAGCGAACGUGUCUGCUGGUGGUGCUGCCGCCGCCGUUGGAGAGGGAUCUGUGUUAGUAGGUCAGCCCUGUACACUCCUCACAACGCACAGUCCUCAUGCCAGCCUUUGCUGUGACUGGCAGCGGCCCGCCCCCAAUCAGAGCUCAGCGCUCGCGGGGUGCAGCCAAUGGCGGCCUCCCAGAGGAGAGUAUUAGGGCAGAACCAGACUUGAAUUGAACCCCCUUUCCUCCUCCCUUAACACUUCCCCCGCCCUACGGGAGCUGUGUGGUACAGUAGAUAUAGGCGCUGGGUAUUGCAUAACCAGCCGAGGGGGGCACGGGGGGAGGCUGCUGACAUUUACGUAAUUACCGAAAGGAGAGCCAGAGGCCAGAGUUAAGGUGGAGACUUUCUCUGUGUCUCUCGCUUAUUGACUCUGGAACACUUUCAGCCGCAAUUUAGUUACCCUGUAGCUUUUACCGAGCUCCAGUGCAAACAGAUGUUGUUGUGGCGCAGGCGUGAAGGAGCACCGAGGAGUAGCGACAUAUGCCCUGCUGGCUGGCUGCAUUGGACAGCACAAAUAAACACGCCGCCUGCUUGUCCUACUCCAGCAGCCCUAAGAGAAGCGGGGAGGGUGGCAGAAACUACACACACGCACACUGCAAUAACCCUGCCAAACAUGUAACACGCUGGGGAAAGGGAGCCCCGAAUCUCUUCCUUGCGACCGUAGGCUGCAGUCCGUGCAGUGGCAGCGAGGUGAAGAACUUUGAAGCCUUUGUAGGAAAUGAAAGAGAAAGAUGUGCAGGGAGUGAGGCGUGGAGGACGAACCCAGUGCUUUAAUCAUCCUUUGUAAUUUAGAUUCUUGAGAUCUGGAGAUCAGUCUCC